rnacentral:rRNA from 1 species
UACGAGGGGAGCAAGCGUUGUUCGGAUUUACUGGGCGUAAAGGGCGCGUAGGCGGCGUGACAAGUCACUUGUGAAAUCUCCGGGCUUAACUCGGAACGGUCAAGUGAUACUGUCGUGCUAGAGUACAGAAGGGGCAACUGGAAUUCUCGGUGUAGCGGUGAAAUGCGUAGAUAUCGGGAGGAACACCAGUGGCGAAGGCGGUUGCCUGGAGCUUUGCUGACGCUGAGGCGCGAAAGCGUGGGGAGCGAUCCGG